UAGAUUGUAGCUCAAGUGAAGUUGAGCAUUUGAUUGUUAAUUAAAAGGUUGUGGGAUAGAGGCCCUCCAGUCUAG
rnacentral:tRNA from 1 species